rnacentral:rRNA from 1 species
UACGUAGGUGGCAAGCGUUAUCCGGAAUUAUUGGGCGUAAAGCGCGCGCAGGCGGUUUCUUAAGUCUGAUGUGAAAGCCCACGGCUCAACCGUGGAGGGUCAUUGGAAACUGGGGAACUUGAGUGCAGAAGAGAAAAGCGGAAUUCCACGUGUAGCGGCGAAAUGCGUAGAGAUGUGGAGGAACACCAGUGGCGAAGGCGGCUUUUUGGUCUGUAACUGACGCUGAGGCGCGAAAGCGUGGGGAGCAAACAGG